rnacentral:piRNA from 1 species
UCUAAGAACCCGGAAGGGCCGUGGGGAC